UACGGAGGGUGCGAGCGUUGUCCGGAAUCACUGGGCGUAAAGGGCGCGUAGGCGGCGCGGAUAGUCGGCGGUGAAAGCCCGGAGCUCAACUCCGGGUCGGCCGUCGAUACUUCCGGGCUUGAGCACUGUAGAGGCAGAUGGAAUUCCGGGUGUAGCGGUGGAAUGCGUAGAGAUCCGGAAGAACACCGGUGGCGAAGGCGAUCUGCUGGGCAGUUGCUGACGCUGAUGCGCGACAGCGUGGGGAGCGAACAGG
rnacentral:rRNA from 1 species